GACGAACGCUGGCGGCGUGCUUAACACAUGCAAGUCGAACGGAAAGGCCCUGCUUUUGUGGGGUGCUCGAGUGGCGAACGGGUGAGUAACACGUGAGUAACCUGCCCUUGACUUUGGGAUAACUUCAGGAAACUGGGGCGAAUACCGGAUAGGAGCUCCUGCUGCAUGGUGGGGGUUGGAAAGUUUCGGCGGUGGGGGAUGGACUCGCGGCUUAUCAGCUUGUUGGUGUGGUAGUGGCUUACCAAGGCUUUGACGGGUAGCCGGCCUGAGAGGGUGACCGGCCACAUUGGGACUGAGAUACGGCCCAGACUCCUACGGGAGGCAGCAGUGGGGAAUAUUGCACAAUGGGCGGAAGCCUGAUGCAGCAACGCCGCGUGCGGGAUGCCGGCCUUCGGGUUGUAAACCGCUUUCGCCUGUGACGAAGCGUGAGUGACGGUAAUGGGUAAAGAAGCACCGGCUAACUACGUG
rnacentral:rRNA from 1 species